rnacentral:lncRNA from 1 species
UGUUUUGUGUGAAACAAUGCUAAACCUAUUCUCAGGUUGGCUUAAUCAACCUCUUCAAUGGUGGGCCCAGAGGAGGCACCACCAGAGGGGGCAGCCCCACCACCAGGGAAGCCUCCGGGCAUUCCUCCAGGCAUGCGUCCUGCACUCUGGUACAGCUUUGUAAUGAUGGGAUUGCAGACCUUCUCCAGCUCUUUCUGCUGAUGUUCAAAUUCUUCCUUUUCUGCAGUCUGGUUCUUAUCCAGCCAGUUGAUGAUUUCAUUACACUUAUCCAGAAUCUUCUGUUUGUCCGCAUUAUUGAUUUUACCCUGAAGCUUUUCAUCUUCAACAGUUGCUUUCAUGUUGAAUGCGUAAGAUUCAAGUGAAUUCUUGGAGGACACCUUGUCUCGCUGCUUCUCAUCUUCAGCUUUGUACUUCUCAGCUUCCUGGACCAUGAGCUCAAUGUCUUCCUUGCUCAAGUGACCUUUGUUGUUUGUGAUGGUGAUCUUAUUCUCUUUUCCUGUCCUCUUAUCCACAGCAGAGACACUGAGAAUGCCAUUAGCAUCAAUAUCAAAGGUGACCUCAAUCUGAGGAACGCCAUGGGAGGCAGUACGUAUGCCUGUGAGUUCAAACUUGCCAAGUAGGUUGUUAUCCUUGGUCAUGGCAGGCUCACCUUCAUAAACCUGAAUGAGCACACCAGGCUGGUUGUCAGAGUAGGUAGUGAAGGUUUGGGUCUGUUUAGUAGGAAUGGUAGAAUUGUGCUUGAUGAGAACAGUCAUGACUCCACCAGCAGUUUCAAUGCCAAGAGAAAGGGGAGUGACCUCCAACAGCAGCAAAUCUUGAGCAUUUUCAGAUUUGUCUCCGGGAAGGAUGGCUGCCUGGACAGCUGCACCAUAAGCGACAGUUUCAUCAGGGUUGAUGCUCUUAUUCAGUUCCUUCCCAUUGAAAAAGUCUUGUAGAAGUUUCUGAAUCUUGGGGAUACGUGUAGAACCACCCACCAAGACAAUAUCGUGGAUCUGAGACUUGUCUAGCUUGGCAUCCUGAAGAGCUUUCUCUACAGGGUCCAGGGUGCGACACAACAGGUCAGUAUUUAAUUCUUCAAACCAGGCAUGAGUAAUAGAGGUACAGAAGUUGAUUCCUUCAUAUAGAGAACCAAUCUCGAUACUGGCCUAGGUGCUGGAAGAAAGUGUAUGCUUGGCAUGCUUGCAAGAGGUACAGAGGCGACGGACUGCCUUCUUGUUCUCACUGAUGUCCUUCUUAUGUUUGCGCUUGAACUCUGCAAUAAAAUGGUUUACCAUUCGGUUGUCAAAGUCUUCUCCACCUAAGUGGGUGUCUCCAGCAGUAGCUUUGACCUCAAAGAUCCCAUCUUCGAUAGUGAGGAUUGACACAUCAAAAGUGCCACCUCCCAAGUCAAAGAUCAGCACAUUCCUUUCGGCUCCAACCUUUUUCUCUAAGCCAUAAGCAAUAGCAGCAGCAGUUGGCUGCUGUACUUUGAUGAUUCAAAGUACAUUAAGACCAGCAAUAGUUCCAGCAUCUUUGGUAGCCUGACGCUGAGCAUUGUUAAAAUAGGCAGGUACUGUGACUACAGCAUUGGUAACAGUCUUCCCAAGGUAAGCCUCUGCGAUUUCCUUUAUCUUUGUCAAAACCAUAGAAGACACCUCCUCUGGAUAGAAACUUUUGGUCUCUCCCUUGUAUUCUACUUGGACCUUGGGCCUGCCAGCAUCAUUCACCACCAUGAGGGGCCAGUGCUUCAUAUCAGAUUGGACAACAGCAUCGUCAAAUCCACACCCAAUCAGGCGUUUGGCAUCAAAAACUGUGUUGGUGGGGUUCAUUGCAACUUGAUUCUUUGCAGCAUCACCAAUCAAUCGUUCAGUGUCAGUAAAGGCUACAUAACUUGGGGUGGUUCGGUUUCCCUGAUCGUUGGCAAUUAUUUCCACUUUCCUGUGCUAGAAGGCACCCACACAAGAGUAGGUGGUGCCAAGACCAAUGCCAACUGCAGGUCCCU